GGGUUGUGAGGUUAAGCGACUAAGCGUACACGGUGGAUGCCCUGGCAGUCAGAGGCGAUGAAGGACGUGCUAAUCUGCGAUAAGCGUCGGUAAGGUGAUAUGAACCGUUAUAACCGGCGAUUUCCGAAUGGGGAAACCCAGUGUGAUUCGUCACACUAUCAUUAACUGAAUCCAUAGGUUAAUGAGGCGAACCGGGGGAACUGAAACAUCUAAGUACCCCGAGGAAAAGAAAUCAACCGAGAUUCCCCCAGUAGCGGCGAGCGAACGGGGAGCAGCCCAGAGCCUGAAUCAGUGUGUGUGUUAGUGGAAGCGUCUGGAAAGGCGCGCGAUACAGGGUGACAGCCCCGUACACAAAAAUGCACAUGCUGUGAGCUCGAUGAGUAGGGCGGGACACGUGGUAUCCUGUCUGAAUAUGGGGGGACCAUCCUCCAAGGCUAAAUACUCCUGACUGACCGAUAGUGAACCAGUACCGUGAGGGAAAGGCGAAAAGAACCCCGGCGAGGGGAGUGAAAAAGAACCUGAAACCGUGUACGUACAAGCAGUGGGAGCACAGAGCAAUCUGUGUGACUGCGUACCUUUUGUAUAAUGGGUCAGCGACUUAUAUUCUGUAGCAAGGUUAACCGAAUAGGGGAGCCGAAGGGAAACCGAGUCUUAACUGGGCGUUAAGUUGCAGGGUAUAGACCCGAAACCCGGUGAUCUAGCCAUGGGCAGGUUGAAGGUUGGGUAACACUAACUGGAGGACCGAACCGACUAAUGUUGAAAAAUUAGCGGAUGACUUGUGGCUGGGGGUGAAAGGCCAAUCAAACCGGGAGAUAGCUGGUUCUCCCCGAAAGCUAUUUAGGUAGCGCCUCGUGAAUUCAUCUCCGGGGGUAGAGCACUGUUUCGGCAAGGGGGUCAUCCCGACUUACCAACCCGAUGCAAACUGCGAAUACCGGAGAAUGUUAUCACGGGAGACACACGGCGGGUGCUAACGUCCGUCGUGAAGAGGGAAACAACCCAGACCGCCAGCUAAGGUCCCAAAGUCAUGGUUAAGUGGGAAACGAUGUGGGAAGGCCCAGACAGCCAGGAUGUUGGCUUAGAAGCAGCCAUCAUUUAAAGAAAGCGUAAUAGCUCACUGGUCGAGUCGGCCUGCGCGGAAGAUGUAACGGGGCUAAACCAUGCACCGAAGCUGCGGCAGCGACACUAUGUGUUGUUGGGUAGGGGAGCGUUCUGUAAGCCUGUGAAGGUGUACUGUGAGGUAUGCUGGAGGUAUCAGAAGUGCGAAUGCUGACAUAAGUAACGAUAAAGCGGGUGAAAAGCCCGCUCGCCGGAAGACCAAGGGUUCCUGUCCAACGUUAAUCGGGGCAGGGUGAGUCGACCCCUAAGGCGAGGCCGAAAGGCGUAGUCGAUGGGAAACAGGUUAAUAUUCCUGUACUUGGUGUUACUGCGAAGGGGGGACGGAGAAGGCUAUGUUGGCCGGGCGACGGUUGUCCCGGUUUAAGCGUGUAGGCUGGUUUUCCAGGCAAAUCCGGAAAAUCAAGGCUGAGGCGUGAUGACGAGGCACUACGGUGCUGAAGCAACAAAUGCCCUGCUUCCAGGAAAAGCCUCUAAGCAUCAGGUAACAUCAAAUCGUACCCCAAACCGACACAGGUGGUCAGGUAGAGAAUACCAAGGCGCUUGAGAGAACUCGGGUGAAGGAACUAGGCAAAAUGGUGCCGUAACUUCGGGAGAAGGCACGCUGAUAUGUAGGUGAAGUCCCUCGCGGAUGGAGCUGAAAUCAGUCGAAGAUACCAGCUGGCUGCAACUGUUUAUUAAAAACACAGCACUGUGCAAACACGAAAGUGGACGUAUACGGUGUGACGCCUGCCCGGUGCCGGAAGGUUAAUUGAUGGGGUUAGCGCAAGCGAAGCUCUUGAUCGAAGCCCCGGUAAACGGCGGCCGUAACUAUAACGGUCCUAAGGUAGCGAAAUUCCUUGUCGGGUAAGUUCCGACCUGCACGAAUGGCGUAAUGAUGGCCAGGCUGUCUCCACCCGAGACUCAGUGAAAUUGAACUCGCUGUGAAGAUGCAGUGUACCCGCGGCAAGACGGAAAGACCCCGUGAACCUUUACUAUAGCUUGACACUGAACAUUGAGCCUUGAUGUGUAGGAUAGGUGGGAGGCUUUGAAGUGUGGACGCCAGUCUGCAUGGAGCCGACCUUGAAAUACCACCCUUUAAUGUUUGAUGUUCUAACGUUGACCCGUAAUCCGGGUUGCGGACAGUGUCUGGUGGGUAGUUUGACUGGGGCGGUCUCCUCCUAAAGAGUAACGGAGGAGCACGAAGGUUGGCUAAUCCUGGUCGGACAUCAGGAGGUUAGUGCAAUGGCAUAAGCCAGCUUGACUGCGAGCGUGACGGCGCGAGCAGGUGCGAAAGCAGGUCAUAGUGAUCCGGUGGUUCUGAAUGGAAGGGCCAUCGCUCAACGGAUAAAAGGUACUCCGGGGAUAACAGGCUGAUACCGCCCAAGAGUUCAUAUCGACGGCGGUGUUUGGCACCUCGAUGUCGGCUCAUCACAUCCUGGGGCUGAAGUAGGUCCCAAGGGUAUGGCUGUUCGCCAUUUAAAGUGGUACGCGAGCUGGGUUUAGAACGUCGUGAGACAGUUCGGUCCCUAUCUGCCGUGGGCGCUGGAGAACUGAGGGGGGCUGCUCCUAGUACGAGAGGACCGGAGUGGACGCAUCACUGGUGUUCGGGUUGUCAUGCCAAUGGCACUGCCCGGUAGCUAAAUGCGGAAGAGAUAAGUGCUGAAAGCAUCUAAGCACGAAACUUGCCCCGAGAUGAGUUCUCCCUGACUCCUUGAGAGUCCUGAAGGAACGUUGAAGACGACGACGUUGAUAGGCCGGGUGUGUAAGCGCAGCGAUGCGUUGAGCUAACCGGUACUAAUGAACCGUGAGGCUUAACCUUACAACGCCGAAGCUGUU
rnacentral:rRNA from 1 species